GGCCUGUUAGUCAAGAGGUGAAGACGCUGCCUUUUCACGGCGGAAACAUCGGUUCGAUUCCGGUACGGGUCA
rnacentral:tRNA from 1 species